GACGAACGCUGGCGGCGUGCUUAACACAUGCAAGUCGAACGAUGAAGAAGAGCUUGCUCUUCGGAUUAGUGGCGAACGAGUGAGUAACACGUGACUAACCUGCCCCUUUCUCUGGGAUAACGCUCCGAAAGGAGUGCUAAUACCGGAUACUCACACCGAGGCACAUGCCUUGGGGUGGAAAGUUUUUGGGAAAGGGAUGGAGUCGCGGCCUAUCAGCUUGUUGGUGAGGUAACGGCUCACCAAGGCGACGACGGGUAGCCGGCCUGAGAGGGCGACCGGCCACACUGGGACUGAGACACGGCCCAGACUCCUACGGGAGGCAGCAGUGGGGAAUAUUGCACAAUGGGCGCAAGCCUGAUGCAGCGACGCCGCGUGAGGGAUGAAGGUCUUCGGAUUGUAAACCUCUUUCAGUAGGGACGAAGCGAAAGUGACGGUACCUAAAGAAGAAGCACCGGCUAACUACGUGCCAGCCGCCGCGGUAA
rnacentral:rRNA from 1 species